rnacentral:tRNA from 1 species
GGAGAGGUGGCUGAGCGGUCUAAAGCGCUUGCCUGCUAAGCAAGAGUUCUGGGAACAGGACGCGCGAGUUCGAAUCUCGUCCUCUCCACCA